CCUAUGGGAGGCAGCAGUGGGGAAUUUUCCGCAAUGGGCGAAAGCCUGACGGAGCAAUACCGCGUGAGGGAGGAAGGCUCUUGGGUUGUAAACCUCUUUUCUUAGGGAAGAACAAAAUGACGGUACCUAAGGAAUAAGCAUCGGCUAACUCCGUGCCAGCAGCCGCGGUAAUACGGAGGAUGCAAGCGUUAUCCGGAAUGAUUGGGCGUAAAGCGUCCGCAGGUGGUUUUGUAAGUCUAUUGUUAAAGCGUCUGGCUCAACCAGAUAAUGGCGGUGGAAACUACAAGACUAGAGUACGUUCGGGGCAGAGGGAAUUCCUGGUGUAGCGGUGAAAUGCGUAGAGAUCAGGAAGAACACCGGUGGCGAAAGCGCUCUGCUAGGCCGUAACUGACACUGAGGGACGAAAGCUAGGGGAGCGAAUGGGAUUAGAUACCCCAGUAGUCCUAGCCGUAAACGAUGGAUACUAGGCGUGGUCGUUGUAUCGACCGACGCGUCGCGUACGCUACGACGUAGUAUCCGCCGUCGGGUAGGUACGCACGCAGUGUGAACGUUAAAGUAGUAAGUUAGACGGCGUGUAAGACGUGCCGACGGACGACGACGAGGGAGGUUAGG
rnacentral:rRNA from 1 species